GACGACGCUGGCGGCGUGCCUAACACAUGCAAGUCGAGCGAAGAAUACAUAAAGAAAUCUUCGGAUGGAAUUAUGUAUUUCUUAGCGGCGGACGGGUGAGUAACGCGUGAGGAACCUGCCUUGUACUAGGGGAUAGCCUCGGGAAACCGGGAUUAAUACCCUAUGAUACUUGAAAGUCGCAUGACUUUCAAGUCAAAGCGAUUUAGCGGUACAAGAUGGCCUCGCGUCCCAUUAGCUAGUUGGCGAGGUAAUAGCUCACCAAGGCGACGAUGGGUAGCCGGCCUGAGAGGGUGAACGGCCACACUGGAACUGAGACACGGUCCAGACUCCUACGGGAGGCAGCAGUGGGGAAUAUUGCACAAUGGAGGAAACUCUGAUGCAGCGACGCCGCGUGAGCGAUGAAGGUUUUCGAAUCGUAAAGCUCUGUCCUAAGGGACGAUAAUGACGGUACCUUAGGAGGAAGCCCCGGCUAACUACGUG
rnacentral:rRNA from 1 species